rnacentral:tRNA from 1 species
UCAAGAGGAAGCAUUUGUAGAUGUGGCUCGCUUACGCUGAGAGGAAAGCCUUUGGCUUCUUUUGAUC